AGAGUUUGAUCAUGGCUCAGAUUGAACGCUGGCGGCAGGCCUAACACAUGCAAGUCGAGCGGUAGCACAGAGAGCUUGCUCUCGGGUGACGAGCGGCGGACGGGUGAGUAAUGUCUGGGAAACUGCCUGAUGGAGGGGGAUAACUACUGGAAACGGUAGCUAAUACCGCAUAACGUCGCAAGACCAAAGAGGGGGACCUUCGGGCCUCUUGCCAUCAGAUGUGCCCAGAUGGGAUUAGCUAGUAGGUGGGGUAACGGCUCACCUAGGCGACGAUCCCUAGCUGGUCUGAGAGGAUGACCAGCCACACUGGAACUGAGACACGGUCCAGACUCCUACGGGAGGCAGCAGUGGGGAAUAUUGCACAAUGGGCGCAAGCCUGAUGCAGCCAUGCCGCGUGUAUGAAGAAGGCCUUCGGGUUGUAAAGUACUUUCAGCGGGGAGGAAGGCGUUGAGGUUAAUAACCUCAGCGAUUGACGUUACCCGCAGAAGAAGCACCGGCUAACUCCGUGCCAGCAGCCGCGGUAAUACGGAGGGUGCAAGCGUUAAUCGGAAUUACUGGGCGUAAAGCGCACGCAGGCGGUCUGUCAAGUCGGAUGUGAAAUCCCCGGGCUCAACCUGGGAACUGCAUUCGAAACUGGCAGGCUAGAGUCUUGUAGAGGGGGGUGGAAUUCCAGGUGUAGCGGUGAAAUGCGUAGAGAUCUGGAGGAAUACCGGUGGCGAAGGCGGCCCCCUGGACAAAGACUGACGCUCAGGUGCGAAAGCGUGGGGAGCAAACAGGAUUAGAUACCCUGGUAGUCCACGCCGUAAACGAUGUCGACUUGGAGGUUGUGCCCUUGAGGCGUGGCUUCCGGAGCUAACGCGUUAAGUCGACCGCCUGGGGAGUACGGCCGCAAGGUUAAAACUCAAAUGAAUUGACGGGGGCCCGCACAAGCGGUGGAGCAUGUGGUUUAAUUCGAUGCAACGCGAAGAACCUUACCUACUCUUGACAUCCAGAGAACUUAGCAGAGAUGCUUUGGUGCCUUCGGGAACUCUGAGACAGGUGCUGCAUGGCUGUCGUCAGCUCGUGUUGUGAAAUGUUGGGUUAAGUCCCGCAACGAGCGCAACCCUUAUCCUUUGUUGCCAGCGGUUAGGCCGGGAACUCAAAGGAGACUGCCAGUGAUAAACUGGAGGAAGGUGGGGAUGACGUCAAGUCAUCAUGGCCCUUACGAGUAGGGCUACACACGUGCUACAAUGGCGCAUACAAAGAGAAGCGACCUCGCGAGAGCAAGCGGACCUCAUAAAGUGCGUCGUAGUCCGGAUUGGAGUCUGCAACUCGACUCCAUGAAGUCGGAAUCGCUAGUAAUCGUAGAUCAGAAUGCUACGGUGAAUACGUUCCCGGGCCUUGUACACACCGCCCGUCACACCAUGGGAGUGGGUUGCAAAAGAAGUAGGUAGCUUAACCUUCGGGAGGGCGCUUACCACUUUGUGAUUCAUGACUGGGGUGAAGUCGUAACAAGGUAACCGUAGGGGAACCUGCGGUUGGAUCACCU
rnacentral:rRNA from 2 species